CCCUUAGAUGUUCUGGGCCGCACGCGCGCUACACUGACGAAUGCAACGAGCUUAUAACCUUGGCCGAAAGGUCUGGGUAAUCUCCAAAUUUCGUCGUGAUGGGGAUAGAUUAUUGCAAUUAUUAAUCUUCAACGAGGAAUGCCUAGUAAGCGCAAGUCAUCAGCUUGCGUUGAUUACGUCCCUGCCCUUUGUACACACCGCCCGUCGCUCCUACCGAUUGAAUGGUCUGGUGAAGCGUUCGGACCGUGGCCUUUGGACGGUUCGCCGUCUGUUGGCUGCGGGAAGUUCGUUAAACCUUAUCAUUUAGAGGAAGGAGAAGUCGUANCA
rnacentral:rRNA from 1 species